rnacentral:rRNA from 1 species
UACAGAGGGUGCAAGCGUUAAUCGGAAUUACUGGGCGUAAAGCGUGCGUAGACGGUUAUUUAAGUCAGGUGUGAAAGCCCCGGGCUCAACCUGGGAAUUGCAUUUGAGACUGAACAGCUAGGGUGCGGAAGAGGGAAGCGGAAUUUCCGGUGUAGCGGUGAAAUGCGUAGAUAUCGGAAGGAACACCAGUGGCGAAAGCGGCUUCCUGGUCCAGCACCGACGUUCAGGCACGAAAGCGUGGGGAGCAAACAGG